rnacentral:rRNA from 1 species
GCCACUGCUAUUGGGGUUCGGCUAAGCCAUGCGAGUGGAGGGCGUCCCGCAAGGGAUGGCCCCGCAGACGGCUCAGUAACACGUCGUCAACCCACCUUAGGGUGGGGGACAACCUCGGGAAACUGAGGAUGAUCCCCCAUAGGCGGGGGAGGCUGGAAUGCGCCCCCGCUGAAAGCUCAGGCGCCCUAGGACGGGACGGCGGCCUAUCAGGUAGUUGGUGGUGUGACG